AUGAAGAGUACGCUGUGCUCUCUGCUGGGGCUGCUGUGCUCCCAGUUUUUCUGGGUGAAAGGGCAACAAGUGAAGCAGAGUCCUGUGUCCUUGGUUCUGCAGGAGGGAGAGAGUGCAGAGCUGCAGUGCAACUUUUCCACCACUGCAACCCAAAUGCAGUGGUUUCACCAAAGUCGUGGUGGACACCUCAUCAGCCUCUUUUCCAGUCCUUCUGGAACAAAGCAGAAUGGAAGACUGACAUCCACCACAGUCACUCAGGAACGUCGCAGCUCCUUGUACAUUUCCUCCUCUCAGACCACAGACUCAGGCACUUAUUUCUGUGCUAUGAAUGCACAGUGCUCCCCACACACCUGCAACCAGUACACAAACCUUCAGCUGUAUGGGUGUGGCCUUUCCAAGUCACAGAACAUCAGGGAGCCCCAUACUAGCUUGUAG